rfam:Camelus ferus unplaced genomic scaffold scaffold878, whole genome shotgun sequence.
GAGGGUGUAACUCAGUGGUAGAGCACCUGCUUAGUAUACAUAAGGCCCUGGGUUCAAUCCCCAGCACCUCCA